UUCACGUCAGCUGAGUGUUUGUUGUGACAGCUAUUUUAAAGAAUAAUUGUUAUAUUAUAAUGUUGUUUUCAGAUGCUGGGGACUUCUAGCAAUGAAGAUGGAAAAUCGAAAAAUUUAUGCGGGUGGAAUAUAGCGGUGAUUAUACCGUCAGACGUGACAUCUCCCUCCUUAGGAAAGUUCGGUCCCCGAACUUUUAUUAGAUUCUAAAGUGUGCCUGGCAGUGUAAGAGCUGUGUUGCUGCAGUUGGAUUUAUCUAAAUCGAGAGCUGGUUAUCUAUACUGUCACCGUGAUUUCGUUGGACGGAUAUGAUAAGGAUAAAUUAAAAGUGAGAAGAGGUAAUAGUGAGCUGAGACUGAAUUAAUAAGGAUAAAGGAUAAGUAUUUCAAUCUUAUUUUAUAAUCUUAUGAAUAUAUAUAUAUAUGAAUAAGAAUAUUAAUGUAUUUUCUUUCAUUUUAUUUCAGGUAAGGAAUAGGUACGAAAUUAUCCUGGAUGGGCUUGUUUUACGAGUGUGAAUAUGAAUACGUUAUAAUAGUAAUCUUACAAUUAGUAAAGCAU